AUUGAACGCUGGCGGCAGGCCUAACACAUGCAAGUCGAGCGGAUGACGGGAGCUUGCUCCUUGAUUCAGCGGCGGACGGGUGAGUAAUGCCUAGGAAUCUGCCUGGUAGUGGGGGACAACGUUUCGAAAGGAACGCUAAUACCGCAUACGUCCUACGGGAGAAAGCAGGGGACCUUCGGGCCUUGCGCUAUCAGAUGAGCCUAGGUCGGAUUAGCUUGUUGGUGAGGUAAUGGCUCACCAAGGCGACGAUCCGUAACUGGGCUGAGAGGAUGAUCAGUCACACUGGAACUGAGACACGGUCCAGACCCCUACGGGAGGCAGCAGUGGGGAAUAUUGGACAAUGGGCGAAAGCCUGAUCCAGCCAUGCCGCGUGUGUGAAGAAGGUCUUCGGAUUGUAAAGCACUUUAAGUUGGGAGGAAGGGUUGUAGAUUAAUACUCUGCAAUUUUGACGUUACCGACAGAAUAAGCACCGGCUAACUCUGUGCCAGCCGCCGCAGUAACAC
rnacentral:rRNA from 1 species